rnacentral:rRNA from 1 species
GACGUAGGGCGCGAGCGUUUGUCCGGAUUUAUUGGGCGUAAAGAGCUCGUAGGCGGUCUGUCGCGUCUGCUGUGAAAACUCGGGGCUUAACCCCGGGCCUGCAGUGGGUACGGGCAGACUAGAGUGCGGUAGGGGAGACUGGAAUUCCUGGUGUAGCGGUGAAAUGCGCAGAUAUCAGGAGGAACACCGGUGGCGAAGGCGGGUCUCUGGGCCGAUACUGACGCUGAGGAGCGAAAGCGUGGGGAGCGAACAGG